rfam:Triticum aestivum genome assembly, contig: Triticum_aestivum_CS42_TGACv1_scaffold_374744_5AL
UAGUUACUCCCUCCCUCCAAAAAAGCUUGUCCCUCAAAUAAAUGUAUCUAACACCAAGUUAGUGCUAGAUACAUUCAUUUGAGGAACAAGCUUGGGACAAGCUUUUUUGAACGGAGGGAGUACAUU